rnacentral:tRNA from 1 species
GCGGGUUUAGCUCAGUUGGUAGAGCGUCAGCUUCCCAAGCUGAAUGUCGUCGGUUCGACCCCGAUAACCCGCUCCA